rnacentral:rRNA from 1 species
UACGGAGGGGGCUAGCGUUGUUCGGAAUUACUGGGCGUAAAGCGCACGUAGGCGGCUUUGUAAGUUAGAGGUGAAAGCCCAGGGCUUAACCCUGGAAUUGCCCUUAAGACUGCAUCGCUAGAAUCGUGGAGAGGUAAGUGGAAUUCCGAGUGUAGAGGUGAAAUUCGUAGAUAUUCGGAAGAACACCAGUGGCGAAGGCGACUUACUGGACACGUAUUGACGCUGAGGUGCGAAAGCGUGGGGAGCAAACAGG